rnacentral:rRNA from 1 species
GAUGAACGCUGGCGGCGUGCCUAAUACAUGCAAGUCGAACGCAGUGGGGACGGGUGAGUAACACGUGGGUAACCUCCCAUCAGAGGGGAUAACACUUGGAAACUGGUGCUAAACCGAUACUGAUGGAUGAACCCGCGGUGCAUUAGCUAGUGGGUGGGGUAACGGCGCACCAAGGCUACGAUGCAUAGCCGGCCUGAGAGGAUGAUCGGCCACACUGGAACUGAGACACGGCCCAGACUCCUACGGGAGGCAGCAGUGGGGAAUGUUGGGCAAUGGGCGAAAGUCUGACCGAGCAACGCCGCGUGUGUGAAGAAGGUUUUCGGGUCGUAAAACUCUGUUGUUAGGGAGGCGGUACCUAACCAGAAAGCACCGGCUAACUACGUGCCAGCAGCCGCGGUAAUAC